UACGUAGGGUGCGAGCGUUGUCCGGAAUUAUUGGGCGUAAAGCGCGCGUAGGCGGCCGCUUAAGUCGGAUGUGAAAGCCCCUGGCUCAACUGGGGAAGUGCACCCGAAACUGAGUGGCUUGAGUACUAAAGAGGGUCGCGGAAUUCCCGGUGUAGAGGUGAAAUUCGUAGAUAUCGGGAGGAACACCGGUGGCGAAGGCGGCGACCUGGGUAGAUACUGACGCUGAGGCGCGAAAGCGUGGGGAGCAAACAGG
rnacentral:rRNA from 1 species